UCAAGUGCUGGAUAAGCUGUGCCUGUUGUGUGAGUGAGAAGUAUGCAGUUUGUUUUUUGAUUUUACAGGUGGUUAAAGUUAAGAGAUUGAAUCACAGAUGAGACUUGGGACUUCCAAACAGUGUUGAAGCUGUGAAAGACAUAUGGAAACUUUUGCUGCUGGACUGAAUGAGUUCUAUCUUACGAUAUCGCUACAAGUCCAUGGGGGGGGGGGUGGAAUCUGGUAGUGUGAAUGAGAAUGGCCCCCACAGAUGAAUAUAUUUGAAUGCUAGGUUCUAAAUGAGUGGAACUGUUUGGAAGGAGUUGGAAGUUGGUCUGUAGAGGAGAUAGAUGUAAGCUCUCAAGUGCUGGUCCAGCAUCAUGCCUACCACCAUGCCACACCCUUUGGAACUGUGAGCCCCAAUAUUGCAAACACAAAAUCCCAUGGGAAUCCUGUGAGAGCAGCAGUCACCAGGAAGAGAGACCACGCCAAGGAGAGCAGUAUCAGUGACUGAAAACAGGCUUCCACUGUAGACAGUCGUCACUCCACUACCUGAAACACACCGCACUGGGAAGACAAGCCAACCGUUCCUGACUGCAGGCUACAGACCUUCCCAUCCUGUGUGCCCUUCCAAUCUUGUCCCCAGCAGGUCUCUGCAGCCUUACUCUGCUUAGCUGCCCUCCUCCUCCUCUUCCUCCUUCUCUUCUUCCUCUUCUUCCUCCUCUUCCUCAUCUUCCUCCUCUUCCCCCCUCCUCCUCUUCCUCCUCAACACAAAGGUCCGUUGUGUACCUCACACAUAUUCUGUACAUGUCAACCACGUGCUCCCUGGCUCUGUCGAAGUUAAAGAACAUUCACUCUCAAGGUAAAUGUCAUCUUCUCACAGACGUGUCUGUGGCCCUGAAACAUCAGCGGCUCCCCAAGCAGCACUUUCAGAUUUUAGUUUUAAGUAAAAUUUAAGUAAUAAAUGUGUGAUUGUUAAAAUA